UCUAAAAUAUUUCCCUUCUCUACAAAAACAAUAUUAUUGCCAAUGUUCCCACUGCUCUUAUUAUUCCUAGCUACACUUGUAGCAACAUCCCAGCCCAAGGUGAUCAUAUCCACCUUCUCCUGCCGCAAUCCGACGCCAGAAAAUACGAUAUUCCGAGCUUGUCAUGCCCGAGCUGGCACCUUGCCAUGGAAACUAACGACACUGUCGGAUUCGAAACUGUUCCAAAAGAGUGUGAAAACUACGUGGAGCAAUACGUGUCAGGUGACCAAUACAAGAAAGAUUCGGCCGUCAUUAUUGAUCUAGCUUUACGCUACGCUAGAAACCUGAAACUCGACGGCGACGGCAAGGACAUUUGGGUCUUUGACAUAGAUGAAACAACACUCUCUAAUUUGCCUUACUAUGCUAAGCAUGGAUACGGGACUGAGCCGAGGGACACGACAUCGAUGAAGGAAUGGUUUGAGGAAAGCGAUGCACCAGCUGUGCCGGCGAGUCUUAAGUUGUACAAUGAGUUAUUGCGUCUUGAGAUAAAGGUUGCCUUCCUCACAGGAAAAUCUGAAAGCUUGAAAGAUGCUACAGAAAUCAAUCUAAAGAAAUCUGGGUACACCAAAUGGGAGAAACUUAUCCUCAAGGGAUCAGAGUCUCCAUCAAAGCUAUAAAAUGUGAAAUUCAAAUCAAAUGAAAGAAGAAAGCUCGAGGAGAUUGAUGGAUACAGAAUUAUUGGAAACAUAGCAAAAGAAAUUGACAGAAAGGGAACAAAGGGAGAAAAUACACUACUUUCUUUCACAUCAUCAAGAAAUUUAAUCAUGAAACUA